AAAACGCUGUCGAGUUUGCCUUUCGGCAAACAUCGCUUUAUUGUAUGCCGUUUCUCACUGACGUUACGAAACGGCGAAUUGAACAGCUUCCAAAAUUGAUAUUUUGUUCAGCUGUUCAAUUUUAAG
rfam:Treponema denticola ATCC 35405, complete genome.